AGCUCCAAUAGCGUAUAUUAAAGUUGUUGCGGUUAAAAAGCUCGUAGUUGGAUCUGCGGCCGAGGAAGGCGGUCCCCCGUUGGGCGGUUACUGCUUUUCCUGGCCUAACUCUCUGGUUUUCCUUUGGUGCUCUUCAUUGAGUGCCACUGGUGGCCAGAACGUUUACUUUGAAAAAAUUAGAGUGCUCAAAGCAGGCGAUCUGCCUGAAUAGUGGUGCAUGGAAUAAUGAAAUAGGAUAUUGGUUCUGUUUUAUUGGUUCGGAGCUAAUAUAAUGAUUGAAGGGGACAGACGGGGGCAUUCGUAUUGCGACGUUAGAGGUGAAAUUCUUGGAUCGUCGCAAGACGAGCUACUGCGAAAGCAUUUGCCAAGAAUGUUUUCA
rnacentral:rRNA from 1 species